GUAGGACUACCCGCUGAACUUAAGCAUAUCAAUAAGCGGAGGAAAAGAAACUAACUAGGACUCCCCUAGUAACUGCGAGUGAAGCGGGAAAAGCUCAAAUUUAAAAUCCUUCGGGAGUUGUAAUCUAGAGAAGUGUCUUCGGUCGUUGCCUCGAACAAGUCCCUUGGAACAGGGCGUCAUAGAGGGUGAGAAUCCCGUUCUUGUCGAGCUACCAACGUCUAUGUGAUGCACUCUCGAAGAGUCGAGUUGUUUGGGAAUGCAGCUCAAAAUGGGUGGUAAACUCCAUCUAAAGCUAAAUAUUGGCGAGAGACCGAUGGCGAACAAGUACCGUGAGGGAAAGAUGAAAAGCACUUUGGACAGAGAGUUAAACAGUACGUGAAAUUGUUGAAAGGGAAGCGCUUGAAGUCAGUCGCGUUGCAGGGACUCAGCCGCAAGGUGCAUUUCUCUGCAACGGGUCAACAUCAGUUUUGGGCGGGGGAUAAAGGUUUGGGGAAUGUGGCAGCCUCGGCUGUGUUAUAGCCUCUUUCCAUGAACCCCGCUUGGGACUGAGGACGCAAGGAUGUUGACGUAAUGGCUUUAAGCGACCCGUCUUGAAACACGGACC
rnacentral:rRNA from 1 species